GGGGGGGGGGGGGGGGGGGGGGGGGGCGGGGAGGGGGGGGGGGGGGGGGGGGGGCGGGCGGCGGUGAGGGUGGCGGCGGGGGGGUGAGUGACGCGGGGAGAACCUAGCUAUGAGACUGGGAGAACUUCGGGGAACGGGAGCUAAUACCGGAUAAUAUAUUGAACCGCAUGGUUCAAUAGUGAAGGCCGUUUUUGCUGUCAGUUAUAGAUGGAUCCGCGCCGCAUGACCAAGUGUGUAAGGGAACGGCUUACCAAGGCAACGGUGCGUAGCCGACCUGGGAGGGUGAUCGGCCACACUGGAACUGAGACACGGUCCAGACUCCUACGGGAGGCAGCAGUAGGGAAUCUUCCGCAAUGGGCGAAAGCCUGACGGAGCAACGCCGCGUGAGUGAUGAAGGUCUUCGGAUCGUAAAACUCUGUUAUUAGGGAAGAACAAAUGUGUAAGUAACUAUGCACGUCUUGACGGUACCUAAUCAGAAAGCCACGGCUAACUACGUG
rnacentral:rRNA from 1 species